rnacentral:rRNA from 1 species
GACGUAGGGUGCAAGCGUUGUCCGGAUUUAUUGGGCGUAAAGAGCUCGUAGGUGGUCUGUUGCGUCGGUAGUGAAAACCCGGAGCUCAACUCCGGGCCCGCUACCGAUACGGGCAGACUAGAGGUAGGUAGGGGAGAGUGGAAUUCCUGGUGUAGCGGUGAAAUGCGCAGAUAUCAGGAGGAACACCGGUGGCGAAGGCGGCUCUCUGGGCCUUACCUGACACUGAGGAGCGAAAGCAUGGGUAGCGAACAGGAUUAGAUACCCUGGUAGUCCAUGCCGUAAACGUUGGGCGCUAGGUGUGGGGGACAUUCCACGUCCUCCGUGCCGCAGCUAACGCAUUAAGCGCCCCGCCUGGGGAGUACGGUCGCAAGACUAAA